AGUGAACGCUGGCGGUAGGCCUAACACAUGCAAGUCGAACGGCAGCACAGUAAGAGCUUGCUCUUACGGGUGGCGAGUGGCGGACGGGUGAGGAAUACAGCGGAAUCUACUUUUUCGUGGGGGAUAACGUAGGGAAACUUACGCUAAUACCGCAUACGACCUACGGGUGAAAGCAGGAGAUCUUCGGACCUUGCGCGAUUGAAUGAGCCGAUGUCGGAUUAGCUAGUUGGCGGGGUAAAGGCCCACCAAGGCGACGAUCCGUAGCUGGUCUGAGAGGAUGAUCAGCCACACUGGAACUGAGACACGGUCCAGACUCCUACGGGAGGCAGCAGUGGGGAAUAUUGGACAAUGGGCGCAAGCCUGAUCCAGCCAUGCCGCGUGGGUGAAGAAGGCCUUCGGGUUGUAAAGCCCUUUUGUUGGGGAAGAAAAGCAGCAGGUUAAUACCCCGCUGUUCUGACGGUACCCAAAGAAUAAGCACCGGCUAACUUCGUG
rnacentral:rRNA from 1 species